UAGCCCUGGUUUCUCUUCAGUCAUGCAUGAAUCUUUUGCCUUUUAUUAAAGAUUUCAAUGGAGAGGAACAUCAGUGAGUUUGAUAUGUUUUUGUGAGCUUUGCUCUGGCAAAGCU